CGCCACCAACACCACCCCUGACCGUCAUCCCCCGUCUCCGAUCUCGCGAGAUUUUCCGCCUGACAGGCCGGACCCUGCGCGAGACACGACUACAUGCGCGCGCGCGCGCCCUCACAGGAGCGCGCAAGGCUUGCUACGGGCAGAGUUGUCCCGGUGGCCCGGAGUUCCAGCCUCUGUCCAGCAUGGCCUCACUGAGUUCGCGGAGCUUCUAAUGCCACGCGGGCGUCAGGUGCAUUCAUUUCACCCCGGAGAUCUGAAGAAGAAGAGUUUAUCUGCAUUCCCCUUCCUUCCUGCUUCCCACCUCCAAAGCCCGCCACUGAUCCUGCGAAUAAGUUUGCCCUGAAGUGUGGAAUAUCCCAUUCCUGCACAACUCGGUUCUACACCCCCUCCCCCGUGGGAUUCAGAGUGGCAAGAGGAAAAACAGCAAGUCCAACUCCACAGGUUUGUAAGGAGCAGCCAGCUUUGAUUUGCCCUGCACGUCAUAGCUCAGAAAGUUUUGCUGCUCAUACAAUCCUCAGCAAAGACCAUCCAUUCAUUCCGGGAUUCCCCCAGCUCAUGGACACAGGUCGGUCUCUAACUACAGACAGCCUUCUUCUGGAAACUCUCACCAGCCUGAUUUCUAAACUCCCAGUCCACCUUCACAUUGUUUGCCUGUUUUCAGUGCCUUUCCUCUGCAGAUCUCUCAGUAGGCAGCCGUAAGGAGUCAGCAAAGGCUAACACGGCUGCCCUCAGCUGGAAACCUAGUGUAGUGCCUAUUACAUUUCUCCUGGAACCACUCCUUGUGAGAAAGGCAAUUCAAACUCUAUCUUAAGUGAGCAUCUACUUCCUUUUCAUCUGAGUUAUAAAAGAAUAGUGCCCCCUUUGGCUCAAAUCUAUGCAAUGUGGAGGAAGAAAAGGCAAGAGCUAAUCCUUGCCAUGAAUUCAUCAUUGUCAUCGUCACCAUUUCACCAUUAUCAGCAACAGACUCUAGAAACAACUUGGUGAAGGCUUGAAAAUAGAGGGUAGAGCAGAUAUAGGGCAGCCUUCUCAAGGAUAUCUCCUCCUUUUUUUGAAAAGAGAUGUUCUCUUUUUCUUGCAUCUUUAUUCUCAGUCCAUUUGCCCUACAGCCUCUGUGCUUCCAAGAUGAAGUUCUGAUAAGUGUCUGCUGUGAUAAGAUAAUAAGAGAGUCUAUCUAUGUAGCUUGGAAAUAAACACUGGAAUUGCUUCUCAAAAAUCCAGAUUGAUUUAAACACCCUCUGGCAAUGUUCUUUUGGCAUCCUCCCCAAUUUUAAAUAACUUGGGUCACAGUUUCCUCCACUCAUUGACUCAGCACUUCAGUGGCAAAGUGACCCUCUAAAUUUCACCUCAGCUAAGAUAGCUCCUCCACCUCCUAGAAGGAUAAUAUUGUGAAUUAAAUGCUGAUGCUGUUUCUGAUUUAGCACAUAUGCACCACCCACAGACAAUUUAUUCUAGACUUUCUUUUAAUGCCAGGGGCUUUAAGAUUACUGAUGAACAGAUCCCUCCCCCAUCCAAGCCCUCUAUUCACCCAGGAAUUUGCGAUGGAAAUAGUACUGUUGGCUGGAG
rnacentral:lncRNA from 1 species